CAGGUUCAAAUAUUUUGGCUUGAAGCUCGGUUGGCAAAUUUGCAUAUAUAGGGCAGAUAAUAAGCUCUGCAAUUUUUGUCCCUAAACCUCUGGUCCUAUGCUUCAAAAUUUCCUCUGCCGUCUCUAUUUCCUCCUGGCCUGUGAAGAAGACUAAAAUAUCUCCUGGGGGUUGUGUCACAUGGAUUUGAAGAACAGUUACAAUUGCAGCAUCAAGGUAAUCAGCUUCUGGUGCUUUUGUAUAGUGUAUCUCAACAGGAAACCUCCUUCCAGGAAUUUUAAAAAUUGGAGCUGAAUCAAAGUAAUCACUAAAUUUUGCAGCAUCAAGUGUUGCACUUGAAAUAAGCAACUUCAAGUCAGGUCGGAAACGGGUUAUAUCCUUUACUAGGCCGAAUAGUAUAUCAGUCGACAAAGUUCUUUCAUGUGCCUCAUCCACCAUCACGACACUGUAGCUUGCCAAAUCUGGCUCACCAAGGAAUUCACGUAGGAGCAUUCCAUCUGUCAUAUAUUUCAGAAGGGUCUUCUCAGAUGUGCAGUCUUCAAAACGAAUGGAGUAGCCAACCUCAUGACCAAGCUUGACGCCCAUUUCUUGAGAAACCCUAGCAGCUACACUCAUAGCAGCAACCCGCCUUGGCUGUGUACAACCAACCUUUCCGCGCUUGGUGUAUCCAGCUUCAUGAAGGUAC
rnacentral:misc_RNA from 1 species